rnacentral:rRNA from 1 species
AGAGUUUGAUCCUGGCUCAGGACUAACGCUGGCGGCACGCAUAAGUCAUGCAAGUCGUACGAGAAAGGGGUCUUCGGACCCCGAGUAAAGUGGCGAACGGGUGAGUAACGCGUGAAUAAUCUACCUUUGAGAGGGGGAUAACCCCGGGAAACUGGGGCUAAUACCGCAUGCCCUGUUGGUCUCGCAUGGGACCUUCAGGAAAGGUGACCUCUGCUUGCAAGUUAUCGCUCGAAGAUGGGUUCACGUUCCAUUAGCUUGUUGGUGGGGUCACGGCCUACCAAGGCUAAGAUGGAUAGCCGGCCUUAGAGGGUGGUCGGCCACACUGGGACUGAGACAAGGCCCAGACUCCUACGGGAGGCAGCAGUCGGGAAUUUUGGGCAAUGGGCGAAAGCCUGACCCAGCGAUGCCGCGUGGGGGAUGAAGGCCCUCGGGUUGUAAACCCCUGUCAAGAGGGAAGAAAGGGUUCGGGCUAAUACCCUGGAACCCUGACGGUACCUCUGAAGGAAGCCAUGGCUAACUCUGUGCCAGCAGCCGCGGUAAUACAGAGAUGGCAAGCGUUGUCCGGAAUUACUGGGUGUAAAGGGCAGGUAGGCGGUGGUGCAAGUCAAAUGUGAAAUCCAAUGGCUCAACCAUUGGGCUGCAUUUGAAACUGCGCCACUCGAGUCCGAGAGAGGAAGGCGGAAUUCCCAGUGUAGCGGUGAAAUGCGUAGAUACUGGGAGGAACACCAGUGGCGAAGGCGGCCUUCUGGACCGAGACUGACGCUGAGCUGCGAAAGCUAGGGGAGCGAACGGGAUUAGAUACCCCGGUAGUCCUAGCCGUAAACGAUGGGCACUAGGUGUGGGAGGCAUCGACCCCUUCCGUGCCGUCGCUAACGCAUUAAGUGCCCCACCUGGGGAGUACGGUCGCAAGACUGAAACUCAAAGGAAUUGACGGGGGCCCGCACAAGCGGUGGAGCAUGUGGUUCAAUUCGAUGCAACGCGAAGAACCUUACCAGGGCUUGACAUGCUUCGGACAGGCUUGGAAACAAGCCCUCCCUUCGGGGUCGGAGCACAGGUGCUGCAUGGCUGUCGUCAGCUCGUGUCGUGAGAUGUUGGGUUAAGUCCCGCAACGAGCGGAACCCUCGCCCUUAGUUGCCAUCGGUUCGGCCGGGAACUCUAGGGGGACUGCCGGUGACAAGCCGGAGGAAGGUGGGGUCGACGUCAAGUCCUCAUGGCCUUUAUGCCCUGGGCGACACACGUGCUACAAUGGCCGGUACAGAGGGUCGCGAACCCGCGAGGGGGAGCUAAUCCCAGAAAGCCGGCCCCAGUUCGGAUCGGAGGCUGCAAUUCGCCUCCGUGAAGCUGGAAUCGCUAGUAAUCGCGAAUCAGCACGCCGCGGUGAAUACGUUCCCGGGCCUUGUACACACCGCCCGUC